rnacentral:rRNA from 1 species
GGGCCAUCGCUCAAACGGAGUAAAAGGUACUCCGGGGAUAACAGGCUGAUACCGCCCAAGAGUUCAUAUCGACGGCGGUGUUUGGCACCUCGAUGUCGGCUCAUCACAUCCUGGGGCUGAAGUAGGUCCCAAGGGUAUGGCUGUUCGCCAUUUAAAGUGGUACGCGAGCUGGGUUUAGAACGUCGUGAGACAGUUCGGUCCCUAUCUGCCGUGGGCGCUGGAGAACUGAGGGGGGCUGCUCCUAGUACGAGAGGACCGGAGUGGACGCAUCACUGGUGUUCGGGUUGUCAUGCCAAUGGCACUGCCCGGUAGCUAAAUGCGGAAGAGAUAAGUGCUGAAAGCAUCUAAGCACGAAACUUGCCCCGAGAUGAGUUCUCCCUGAGACUUUAAGUCUCCUGAAGGAACGUUGAAGACGACGACGUUGAUAGGCCGGGUGUGUAAGCGCAGCGAUGCGUUGAGCUAACCGGUACUAAUGAACCGUGAGGCUUAACCUUACAACGCCGAAG